rnacentral:rRNA from 1 species
AUGAACGCUGGCGGCGUGCCUAAUACAUGCAAGUCGAGCGAACAGACGAGGAGCUUGCUCCUCUGACGUUAGCGGCGGACGGGUGAGUAACACGUGGAUAACCUACCUAUAAGACUGGGAUAACUUCGGGAAACCGGAGCUAAUACCGGAUAAUAUAUUGAACCGCAUGGUUCAAUAGUGAAAGACGGUUUUGCUGUCACCUAUAGAUGGAUCCGCGCCGCAUUAGCUAGUUGGUAAGGUAACGGCUUACCAAGGCAACGAUGCGUAGCCGACCUGAGAGGGUGAUCAGCCACACUGGAACUGAGACACGGUCCAGACUCCUACGGGAGGCAGCAGUAGGGAAUCUUCCGCAAUGGGCGAAAGCCUGACGGAGCAACGCCGCGUGAGUGAUGAAGGUCUUCGGAUCGUAAAACUCUGUUAUUAGGGAAGAACAAAUGUGUAAGUAACUAUGCACGUCUUGACGGUACCUAAUCAGAAAGCCACGGCUAACUACGUG